rnacentral:rRNA from 1 species
AACGAACGCUGGCGGCAGGCCUAACACAUGCAAGUCGAGCGCGCCCUUCGGGGUGAGCGGCGGACGGGUGAGUAACGCGUGGGAACGUGCCCUUCUCUGCGGAAUAGCCUCGGGAAACUGAGAGUAAUACCGCAUACGCCCUUUGGGGGAAAGAUUUAUCGGAGAAGGAUCGGCCCGCGUUGGAUUAGGUAGUUGGCGGGGUAAUGGCCCACCAAGCCGACGAUCCAUAGCUGGUUUGAGAGGAUGAUCAGCCACACUGGGACUGAGACACGGCCCAGACUCCUACGGGAGGCAGCAGUGGGGAAUCUUAGACAAUGGGGGCAACCCUGAUCUAGCCAUGCCGCGUGAGUGAUGAAGGCCUUAGGGUUGUAAAGCUCUUUAAGCUGGGAAGAUAAUGACGGUACCAGCAGAAGAAGCCCCGGCUAACUCCGUG